rnacentral:rRNA from 1 species
CCUACGGGAGGCAGCAGUGAGGAAUAUUGGUCAAUGGUCGGGAGACUGAACCAGCCAAGCCGCGUGAGGGAUGAAGGUACAGAGUAUCGUAAACCUCUUUUGUCAGGGAACAAAGGCGGGGACGUGUCCCCGGAUGAGUGUACCUGAAGUAAAAGCAUCGGCUAACUCCGUGCCAGCAGCCGCGGUAAUACGGAGGAGGCGAGCGUUAUCCGGAUUUAUUGGGUUUAAAGGGUGCGCAGGCGGUCUGUUAAGUCAGCGGUCAAAGCCCGGGGCUCAACCCCGGCCCGCCGUUGAAACUGGCAGUCUAGAGUUGGAGAGAAGUAUGCGGAAUGCGCGGUGUAGCGGUGAAAUGCAUAGAUAUCGCGCAGAACUCCGAUUGCGAAGGCAGCAUGCCGGCUCCACACUGACGCUGAGGCACGAAAGCGUGGGUAUCGAACAGGAUUAGAUACCCUAGUAGUC